AAAACAUCGCCUCCUGCAAUAAUAUAAUGUAUAGGAGGUCCAGCCUGCCCAGUGACCAUGAGUUAAACGGCCGCGGUAUUUUGACCGUGCGAAGGUAGCGCAAUCACUUGUCUUUUAAAUAAAGACCUGUAUGAACGGUUAAACGAGGGCUUAACUGUCUCCCCUCUCCAGUCAGUGAAAUUGAUCUACCCGUGCAGAAGCGGGUAUAAUUAUACAAGACGAGAAGACCCUUUGGAGCUUAAGGUACAAAACUUAAUCAUGUCAAGCAACUCAAUAAAAAGCAACUAUCAAACCUAGUGACAAAUAAGACUAUACCUUCGGUUGGGGCGACCAAGGAGGAAAAACAAGCCUCCAAGUGGAUUGGGACAAACUACCCUAAAACCAAGAGAGACAUCUCUAAGCCACAGAACAUCUGACCAUAAAUGAUCCGAUCAACAAGAUCGAUCAACGAACCAAGUUACCCCAGGGAUAACAGCGCAAUCCCCUCCAAGAGUCCAUAUCGACGAGGGGGUUUACGACCUCGAUGUUGGAUCAGGACAUCCUAAUGGUGCAGCCGCUAUUAAGGGUUCGUUUGUUCAACGAUUAAAGUCCUACGUGAUCUGAGUUCAGACCGGAGCAAUCCAGGUCAGUUUUCUAUCUAA
rnacentral:rRNA from 1 species